UUUCUUCAUGGAAAUACAAUCAGACCGAGACGCUAAAGGUCCUUACACACCGGGAACGACGCAAAUAUACGACACAAAAUUAUGAAAUAUUCGGAGGCAAAUUUUGUUGCGCCUGACUUUACACAUCAAUACGAUUUUGGGACUUUCAGGGGGAAAAAGACGCGUCCCGGUCGGAAGUGAGAAAACUGAGCCAACAACAGACUGAGUGUUUUCAGUUCUGAUUAGACUCUAGUGUUGAGAUGUCUGUCUGUCAUGAUAGCAUGGACUGAGUCGGGGUCAGUACCAGAUAAACACAUGUAACCAUGGUAACAACCGUUAGCUUACGUUAGCACAGAUGAAAGUUCAAACAAAGACGUUUAUCAAACUGUUAAAGUUCACAAACCAUCGUCAGAUGAGAAAUCCGACACUAUGACUCUCCACAAGUCGUCCUUCAGGUCGUUAUCUUUGUAAUGUUUGUGUCUUUUAUCAAGAAUCACUCUGUUCUCCGACACGGAAACAAUCAGCCGGUCGGCCAUGUUGGAUUUACCGGUGAAUCUGACGUAGCAACAACAUGCAAUCUGAUUGGUCAGAAGUGGACACACAGUCUGAGAAACUUUAGGAAAAUCGGCCGUGAUCCAAAAAAAAAAAAGCCGCAAUAUCGCAGGACGGGAAAACGUCGCUGAUGUGAACGCUUGUAUGGACAGGAUACAGAUUCGAAAAAAAAAUAUUGACGUUAGAAAUAAUCGCAGGAAAAAACGUGAAAGGAGCUUAAAGCAGAAGAACUACCGCGUCUGUAAAAUGAUCAAUAUGGUGAUUAUUACUUCAAGGAAAUGAUAAAGAAAUGAUCAUAAAUGUUCUUCCUUGAGCUGCGGCACCCCGCUGUAGUCUGUAAUGGACUGGCCUGAGGUCUCUCUACAAACAAGCGUCUGCUGGAAGAGAGUAGGUGAGUUGUGUUUAGUCUCUUUGCUAAAGAAAUGAGUCAAAGUUAAAAAGAUGUUUGGUGUCUAGUACUAUGUCUGUGACCCUAUAUGUCCUGUUGAUGAAGUUAGGUGCUGUUCUGAGCAUUAUUUGUGGCUAUAGAGUGGUGUUUUGGU